UACGGAGGAUUCAAGCGUUAUCCGGAUUUAUUGGGUUUAAAGGGAGCGUAGGCGGGUUGUUAAGUCAGUUGUGAAAGUUUGCGGCUCAACCGUAAAAUUGCAGUUGAAACUGGCAGUCUUGAGUACAGUAGAGGUGGGCGGAAUUCGUGGUGUAGCGGUGAAAUGCUUAGAUAUCACGAAGAACUCCGAUUGCGAAGGCAGCGUACCGGCGCCACACUGACGCUGAAGCUCGAAAGCGCGGGUAUCGAACAGG
rnacentral:rRNA from 1 species